rnacentral:rRNA from 1 species
UAGGGAAUCUUCCGCAAUGGGCGCAAGCCUGACGGAGCAACGCCGCGUGUGUGAAGAAGGUCUUCGGAUCGUAAAGCACUGUUGUUAGAGAAGAACGACCGCUAGAGUAACUGUUAGCGGAGUGACGGUAUCUAACCAGAAAGCCACGGCUAACUACGUGCCAGCAGCCGCGGUAAUACGUAGGUGGCAAGCGUUGUCCGGAUUUAUUGGGCGUAAAGGGAGCGCAGGCGGUGACUUAAGUCUGAUGUGAAAGCCCACGGCUCAACCGUGGAGGGUCAUUGGAAACUGGGUCGCUUGAGAGCAGAAGAGGAAAGUGGAAUUCCAUGUGUAGCGGUGAAAUGCGUAGAUAUAUGGAGGAACACCAGUGGCGAAGGCGACUUUCUGGUCUGUAACUGACGCUGAGGCUCGAAAGCGUGGGGAGCAAACAGG